rnacentral:tRNA from 1 species
GGGCGGUUAGCUCAGUUGGUAGAGCGCCGGCCUUACAAGCCGGAUGUCAGGUGUUCAAGCCACCUACUGCCCACCA